GGGUGCGAUCAUACUAGCACUCAUGUACCGGAUCCCAUCAGAACUCUGAAGUUAAGCGUGCUUGAGCAAGAGUCGUAUUAAGGCAGGAUUUGUUAUAGAACUUCCGCAGACACAUGCA
rnacentral:rRNA from 1 species